rnacentral:rRNA from 1 species
UCCCCUACGGGGCGCAGCAGUGGGGGAUAUUGCACAAUGGGGGGAACCCUGAUGCAGCGACGCCGCGUGGGUGAAGGAGCGUUUCGGCGCGUAAAGCCCUAUCGGCAGGGAAGAAGGAGGACGGUACCUGACUAAGAAGCCCCGGCUAACUACGUGCCAGCAGCCGCGGUAAUACGUAGGGGGCAAGCGUUAUCCGGAUUUACUGGGUGUAAAGGGAGCGUAGGCGGCCUGCCAAGUCUGAUGUGAAAUACCGGGGCUCAACCCCGGGGCUGCAUUGGAAACUGGCAGGCUGGAGUGCCGGAGAG